rnacentral:rRNA from 1 species
UGUAUAAUGGGUCAGCGACUUAUAUUCUGUAGCAAGGUUAACCGCAUAGGGGAGCCGGAGGGAAACCGAGUCUUAAUUGGGCGUUAAGUUGCAGGGUAUAGACCCGAAACCCGGUGAUCUAGCCAUGGGCAGGUUGAAGGUUGGGUAACACUAACUGGAGGACCGAACCGACUAAUGUUGAAAAAUUAGCGGAUGACCUGUGGCUGGGGGUGAAAGGCCAAUCAAACCGGGAGAUAGCUGGUUCUCCCCGAAAGCUAUUUAGGUAGCGCCUCGUGAAUUCAUCUCCGGGGGUAGAGCACUGUUUCGGCUAGGGGGCCAUCCCGGCUUACCAACCCGAUGCAAACUGCGAAUACCGGAGAAUGUUAUCACGGGAGACACACGGCGGGUGCUAACGUCCGUCGUGAAGAGGGAAACAACCCAGACCGCCAGCUAAGGUCCCAAAGUCAUGGUUAAGUGGGAAACGAUGUGGGAAGGCC